ACACGUAGGGGGCGAGCGUUGUCCGGAAUUACUGGGUGUAAAGGGUGCGUAGGCGGCCUUGCGAGUCAGAUGUGAAAGAUCACGGCUUAACUGUGGUAAGCAUUUGAAACUGUAAGGCUUGAGUGCAGGAGAGGAGAGUGGAAUUCCUAGUGUAGCGGUGAAAUGUGUAGAUAUUAGGAAGAAUAUCAGUGGCGAGGGCGGCUCUCUGGACUGCAGCUGACGCUGAGGCACGAAAGCGUGGGGAGCAAACAGGAUUAGAUACCCUGGUAGUCCACGCUGUAAACGAUGAGUGCUAGGUGUCGGGGGUCAUACCUCGGUGCCGCAGUUGACGCAUUAAGCACUCCACCUGGGGAGUACGGCCGCAAGGCUGAA
rnacentral:rRNA from 1 species